rnacentral:rRNA from 1 species
UGGGGAAUAUUGCACAAUGGGCGCAAGCCUGAUGCAGCCAUGCCGCGUGUGUGAAGAAGGCCUUCGGGUUGUAAAGCACUUUCAGCGGGGAGGAAGGCGUUAAGGUUAAUAACCUUGGCGAUUGACGUUACCCGCAGAAGAAGCACCGGCUAACUCCGUGCCAGCAGCCGCGGUAAUACGGAGGGUGCAAGCGUUAAUCGGAAUUACUGGGCGUAAAGCGCACGCAGGCGGUCUGUCAAGUCGGAUGUGAAAUCCCCGGGCUCAACCUGGGAACUGCAUUCGAAACUGGCAGGCUAGAGUCUUGUAGAGGGGGGGAGAAUUCCAGGUGUAGCGGUGAAAGGCGUAGAGAUCUGGAGGAAUACCGGUGGCGAAGGCGGCCCCCUGGACAAAGACUGACGCUCAGGUGCGAAAGCGUGGGGAGCAAACAGG